rnacentral:rRNA from 1 species
UGGGGAAUUUUGGACAAUGGGCGAAAGCCUGAUCCAGCAAUGCCGCGUGUGUGAAGAAGGCCUUCGGGUUGUAAAGCACUUUUGUCCGGAAAGAAAUCCUUGGCUCUAAUACAGUCGGGGGAUGACGGUACCGGAAGAAUAAGCACCGGCUAACUACGUGCCAGCAGCCGCGGUAAUACGUAGGGUGCAAGCGUUAAUCGGAAUUACUGGGCGUAAAGCGUGCGCAGGCGGUUUGCUAAGACCGAUGUGAAAUCCCCGGGCUCAACCUGGGAACUGCAUUGGUGACUGGCAGGCUAGAGUAUGGCAGAGGGGGGUAGAAUUCCACGUGUAGCAGUGAAAUGCGUAGAGAUGUGGAGGAAUACCGAUGGCGAAGGCAGCCCCCUGGGCCAAUACUGACGCUCAUGCACGAAAGCGUGGGGAGCAAACAGGAUUAGAUACCCUGGUAGUCCACGCCCUAAACGAUGUCAACUAGUUGUUGGGGACUUCAUUUUCCUUAGUAACGUAGCUAACGCGUGAAGUUGACCGCUGGGGAGUACGGUCGCAAGAUUAAAACUCAAAGGAAUUGACGGGGUCAUAGCUGUUUCCU